rnacentral:rRNA from 1 species
AUUGAACGCUGGCGGCAUGCCUUACACAUGCAAGUCGAACGGCAGCACGGGUGCUUGCACCUGGUGGCGAGUGGCGAACGGGUGAGUAAUACAUCGGAACAUGUCCUGUAGUGGGGGAUAGCCCGGCGAAAGCCGGAUUAAUACCGCAUACGAUCUACGGAUGAAAGCGGGGGACCUUCUGGCCUCGCGCUGUAGGGUUGGCCGAUGGCUGAUUAGCUAGUGGGUGGGGUAAAGGCCUACCAAGGCGACGAUCAGUAGCUGGUCUGAGAGGACGACCAGCCACACUGGGACUGAGACACGGCCCAGACUCCGACGGGAGGCAGCAGUGGGGAAUUUUGGACAAUGGGCGAAAGCCUGAUCCAGCAAUGCCGCGUGUGUGAAGAAGGCCUUCGGGUUGUAAAGCACUGUUGUCCGGAAAGAAAUCCUUGGCCCUAAUACGGUCGGGGGAUGACGGUACCGGAAGAAUAAGCACCGGCUAACUACGUG